GCCCCCACCUCCUGUAGCUCAGUGGUAGAGCGUCCGACCGGUGUGCGGAAGGUCAUAGGUUCGACUCCUGUUGGGGGAA